UGCCGCGACAACACGACUAAACGGGCUAAGCGAGUUUUCGCUUUCGACUGAAAUCGAAUGUCCUGCCGGCUAGCCGCUGACAAGAACCUACAUGAAUUGCGUACGUGUGCGCACGCGUGCAUCGUUGUGUGAGUUGCGGUAUACCGUACCGCACGUUUCUACCAGCAUCAAGUAUCGAGUAUCCGGACAAGUAAAUGUAGUCCUAUCGAGCUCGCAUUACAAAACGCCAGUGUCGACAAGAUGAGUCGAGCGAUUAAAUUACAUAUGACACGCGCGUAUUGCACUCUAUAAUGACAGAUAUAUGGGAAUAAUGGAAUGCUACUCCACCACUGACUGUGAAAGUUGUAUUAAUUACAACCUCUUAAUGUGUCAACAUUUUUUCGCUCCAACUUUUAUAUCUUUUUGGGCGGGGAACGAGAAAUCAUCGUUCUACAGGAAAAUAAUAAAAUUUCUAUAAUUGCAUUCAAUUAUAUAAAAAAUAUAAAUUAAAAAUGAAUAUAAAUGAAAUUAUUUAUUGAAUUAUUUGUACUAUUUACAUAUACUUAUUUUAUAAUGAUAAAAUUUAAAAAAAAAUUGUUUUAAAUAAAUAAAUUUACAUUAUAAAAUGAA